CUAGUAUUCUUCAUUAAACUACUC
rnacentral:tRNA from 3 species